rnacentral:lncRNA from 1 species
ACUUGGAAUUGAUUAGGGUUCAUUUUAGGAUUUAAUUUAGAGUUAGGAUUAGGAUUUUGGAUUGAUUUAAGGUUUGAUUUAGGUUAGGAUUUGGUUAGGAUUUGGUUAGGAUUUGGUUAGGAUUUGUCUAAGAUUUGAUUAGGGCUUAUUUAGAAUUUUUUAGGAUUUGAUUAGGAUUUGAUUAAGAUUUUUUUAAGAUUUGAUUAGGACUUAUUUAGGGAUUGACUAAAUUUUGAUAAGGAUUUGACUAAGGUUUGAUUAAGAUUUGAUUA